UUGGCAUUUCUUGGCUGUGGUUCAUUGCUGGCUGGAAGUCAUCCAGCCCCUGCAGAGUCACUUUGCAAUACUGUGCCAGCAAGUUUCCAUGCUCUGCAGCAGUGGUUACAAUGAGACCAGCAUGGUCCUAUAGGACUGACCUGAAAUGUUUCACACACACACACAAAAAUCCCUCUUAAUGAAGGAAACUUAGAUCAAUGGUUUUGAAAUGAGGAAGGAUAUAUCACUUCACAACAAACCACCAGUGGUGUGCACAAACAAAACCAGAAGGAAUAGAGACUUAACACUACCAAAAGACUACUGGGAAAAAAAAAAAAGUUUGAGAAAAGCAAUAGACAUUAAGGUAUAAUCAUAAUGGAGGACAAGAAGAAAUGAAGAGCCAUCUCCUGUUACCUAAUUACCCAGGAAGUCUCUAAGCUAAGGCCUCCAGCCCCAUCCUAUGCUACCACAUCCUUCCCACUUGAGAAGAAUCCCUCACUGACAGCUCUUCUGUAACAGGUGCAGAACAUUGCUGCAUCCAGUUCCCCAGUGAAAACAUCGAGAUCAGUCAAACCCCCAAGCUAUAGCUGGGAUACACAGAAGGAUAAGUACAUAUAAGUAUUAUUUUGUUACAUAUUCUCUUAACCUUUGCUUGCUGGCCUGAAACAUUUCCUUUGCUGUCUGAUUUUGCAGACAUUUACACACUUGUCUUGCUUGUGGUUUUACCCAUGGACAGGUCUCUCCCGGAGUUUCCAUACAGUCAGGAGCUGCAUUUGUGGUCAGGAUCUUGUCCUCAGUCUUCAUCUGAGCUCUGCCACAUGUCCCUGGCCAUGAACUUUGAGGUUCACGGUGACCCAGAUCCUGAACUUGCAUUCCUGGCUUGACCUCAGACUGACCACUUUGCCGUGGACAUCUCUGGUGAUCUGGACUAUUGUUAACCCUGCUUACCAUCACUGGACAUGAGUCUUCCCUGUCACUGAGCCUAAUCUUGCACUGGUGCUACACUCCAUCAGUGAAACCAGCGACACCCAUCAAUCUUGCUGCCACCCUCAGCUCCUGGCUCACCUUUCCUUAUGGAGAAAAGGGAGCAGCCACCCACCAUUGC